rnacentral:rRNA from 1 species
AGGACGAACGCUGGCGGCGUGCCUCAUACAUGCAAGUGGAGCGACGAACCAGGAUUUAUCCUGGGGCAAAGCCGCGAACGGGUGAGUAACACGUGGGUUACCUGCCCCGAUGAUUGGGACAACCCGAGGAAACUCGGGCUAAUACCAAAUGUGCCCGUGGUUGUGAUGAUCACGAGGAAAGGAAGCUUCGGCCUCCGCAUCGGGAUGGGCCCGCGGCCCAUUAGCUAGUUGGUGGGGUAAAGGCCUACCAAGGCGACGAUGGGUAGCUGGUCUGAGAGGACGAUCAGCCACACUGGGACUGAGACACGGCCCAGACUCCUACGGGAGGCAGCAGUAGGGAAUCUUGCACAAUGGGCGCAAGCCUGAUGCAGCAACGCCGCGUGAGGGACGAAGGCUUUCUGAGUUGUAAACCUCUUUCAGCAGGGACGAUUGUGACGGUACCUGCAGAAGAGCCCCGGCAACUACGUGCCAGCAGCCGC